UCAUAAGAUAAGGAUCAAAGGAUAAACAAAAGUGACAACUUAAAAAUACAAAUCAUAACAAAAGCAACAGGGAUAGAAAAGACACCCCACCUUGACCAUAAAUUUUUAUUAUUUACAAUUCCAUGGGCUUUUCCAAUUUUCUCCCUCAAAACCCUUGAAAGGGAAAAGAGAGAAAAUGGGGAAGGGACCCCUUCUUAAAAGACAACUUGCUCAUUCAUCAUCAUCCAUUGUUAUUCUUCUCAAGCAUCAUCACCAUCUUUCUUCAAAUUAUCAAAUAAAUUAAAAACUAAAUUAAGCAUUGCUCCUGAAGGAUCCUAGAGCCUUAAUGGCUGCUGCUCUAAGAAUGUAUUGGUGGUACAAAGCAGCAAUGGCAGCUCCAAUAAAAGGUCCAACCCAGAAGAUCCACUGAUCAUCCCAGGCCUUGUCUUUGUUGUAGAUAACAGCAGCUCCAAAACUCCUAGCAGGGUUGAUGCCAGUGCCAGUAAUUGGAAUAGUGGCAAGGUGAACCAUGAACACAGCAAAUCCAAUGGGAAGAGGUGCCAAUACCUUAAUUGGGAGAGAAAUUAAAUUAAUAGAAAUUUAAUUAAAUAUUAAUUAAAUCAUUUUAAUGUUAACAGGCACUUCAUAAAUUAUAAAAAGAAAUCAAAUGAUGAGUUUUUUUUUCUUUUUUUUAAAUAAUUUCUUAUAUUAUCUUGCGCUUGCUUUCCAAAUCAAAAACCUAACCAACUUCAGAUCAAAACUGUGGUGUGGAGAAAGUAAAGACCCCAGAAAUCAAGAUCUUGAGAUGAGAAAAACCAGCAAAGUCAGCAAGAAAAUGACUCAUGUCAUAUCCCAAGAACCUAAACAUUAAAUAGCACAAAUAUUUUAUCAAACAAUUCAGAGAAAACAGAAUCAGGUCCUUACAGGAACAUGGGAAUCUCUUGCAUUCCUCUUAGGAUCAGUGGCAGAGAAGACAGUAUAGACAAGAACAAAGGUACCAAUGAUCUCAGCACCCAAACCAGUGCCCUUGCUGUACCCAGAAGAGAGUUCGUUGGCCCCACCUCCAUACCUGGUGUAAUAAGCCUUUUGGAAGGCCUUGACCAAACCACACCCACAUAUUGCACCCAGGCACUGUGCUACCAUGUACAAAAGGGCCCUGAUUAGUGACACCUUGCGUCCCAGGAACAGCCCGAAGGUCACAGCUGGGUUAAUAUGUCCUCCAGAGAUACCAGCAGUGCAGUAAACAAGAAUAAAGAUCAUGCCACCAAAGGCCCAAGCAAUACCAAGAAUACCAACACCACCACAAGCAUCAGAAUUCUUGGCAGGGUCAGUCUGACUCUUAUAUCCAAUUACUGUCAACACAGUGAUAUAAAGGAAAAGAAGGGUAGCAAUGAACUCGGCAAUAAGAGCCCUGUAGAAGGACCAUUUUCCAAGUUCCUCUACAUCGAUCAAAGGUGCAGGUGGAGGGUCAUGGUAGUCUUUGGCCGAGAAUUCUCCAGGAUUCUCUGCAACUUCCACGUCCUUAGCCAUGAGAGAAUUAUUGAUCUAUAUAUUUUCUUGAUUUUGCGCUUCUCUGGUGGCUAGUGAGCUCUGAAAGGGGGUGGAGAAUAUGUGGUUAGAGAGGCGAGCAAAGAGGGGGUAUUUAUGGAAGAGAGGAUGGACGGUAUAUGAUUAAGAGAGUAUAAUAUUCAUCGUUUGAUGACAUAAUUAACUUAAAUUUUAAUUAGCCGACCAAAUACCAUCUUUUUCUUCAUUUUUUUUU
rnacentral:misc_RNA from 1 species